AUGGGGCGGUGGUCGCCGACAGUGGCAGGGCGUUGGUGGGGCCGUGGUGUGGGGAUCGCCGAAGAAAAAGCUCGGCACGGGGGGGGGGGCCUAGAGGGAUGGCCGAGGCAGCGGCGGACCGGUGCUACCUCUUGA
rnacentral:rRNA from 1 species